rnacentral:lncRNA from 1 species
AGUUUCUCUCAGCCUCCUCAUAAUUGAUCCAUGAGAAGGAGGAGAUAGAAAAUGUCUGUAUUAGGGUUCCAUGGGAAAUAAUACUGUAUAAUGUAACGAACCAAAGAGCCAUAAAAAGAAAAAAAAAAAAAAAAAAAAAAGGAAAAAAAGAAAAAAAAAGGACUAAAGUAGCUUUAUUCUAAAUGCACAGUAAUUAAAUAAAGGACUGCAAGGUCUCAUCUUUGUUACAAAAGACACUGCAAUAGUGAAGAUAUGUUCCCUUUGUGGUAGAAGUAAUUAUCUACUGAAACAGUUGGAUAAAUGAUGAAUUUUAAAUGGGGUCCAGCCACUUUUCAUGCAGAAGAUAAAUGUUUAAGGAAUCACUAGAUAAAAUUUAAACUGCAUGGAUUUCCAUAGGACUGUCAUUCAGUAAAAUGUUUGUUUGUGAAAUGAACUUUGAUAGAAAACUACUUGGAAAAGCAAAGAAGGAAAUGUGGAAAGAGUUUGUGUCUCAAAACAUCUUCCCCAUCAACAGAGAUGUUGGAAUGAUGGUCUGGAGGACAGCAGAACAGCCCUGAGAAGAUGUGUUAAAGAUGGAUGCUCAGGAUACUGUGAUACUAAGAAAAGGAAAAUAGCAGCAGGAAGGGUACCUAUAUGAGAAGGAGCUCCACAUGCCUCCAUGAAUGGCUAUCCACACCUGUCUUGGUGAUGCAGAGACCCUAUGCUUUCACUUUUGUCACUCGUACAGCCUUUUGGAGGGACAAUGUGCUGAGACCCCAGGAAAACUGCACAGUGCUUGAAGAAGAUACAUCAAAAAUCACUUUUGUUCUGAGAUCAGAUCAGGUGCAUCCAGGCUGGACUGCCUUGAGAGGACACUCUACCAGAAGAGAUGUGCCAGGACUACACUUAGUCUGCUCUAGUAGUGGAUAGGGAUUCAGCCUUCAGAUCUAGUGGUCCAAAGCAACCUGCCAACAAAUGGAGAAAUCACGUAUGCCAUGUCCUGAGCGUUGACUGAUCCAACCAGCACAGCUCUGCAGAGCCCUUCUAGCACAUCCCACCACUGGCUCACUCUGAUGGAACUUGCACAGCUGACCCAAUUCACUUAUCCCAGCCUGGUUGCUUUGACAGUCUCUUUGCCUUAGGAAGAACACUGCUUCUCUACACUUGCUUUCAGAGAAAGGCAAGCUGUUAUUCAUUAUUUCUAUUUCUUUUUCUUUUCCUGUUGUAAUUUUCGUCAAGUAGGUAUACCACCUAAAAGACAAAUGGGAAGAAGAAGGAAAUGGCCCAUUCUUUUACUGUUUAAAAUGUUGUUUCGUCUGUGUCACUUUAAUUCUAAAACAUGAGAUGCAAGGGUACAGAGAACACUGGUGUUUAUCUUGAAUCUCUGCCUUUGUUUUGAAUCAAAAACACAGCACCCAGGCCAAAGACAAUACUAAACAUCUACCGCUGAGGUCACUGAUCUGCAAUUUGUUGUGGUGACAGAUCCAAUAUUGUGCUUGGGGAACAGACUGGAUGGCUGUUAAUGCACUAUUAUAGGCACAGUUGGGAAAUUGGCUGAGCACCAGGUAACUGGAAGAACUGGAGCUUAUUACACAAGUCCAAGAGUGUUUUAACUUGUGGGUUGAUUGCUAACAUGGGGAGAGCUUUUAAAAUGUUAAUUGAUUUUUUUUCUUAAUAAUAACACAAACCAUCUGUAGCUUUGAACUUAAAUUUAACUUCUAUAAUUAAGUCAGAGCCUUCUACUACAAGAACUGUCAUACACCAAUCUUUUCAUACUAAUUUUGUUUCAGUUUGUCACAUCAUUUAAAGCCCUGGCCCACCAGAGCAAGGCUUUAAUUAACAGUAAAAUAGUUUUAAGGGAACCUCUGUAUGAAGCAUGAGGAAUUGAGUUUGGACCUGUUUGGAUAACACAGAUAAUUGACAUAGUAUUUUGUGUCUUACCAAUGUGUUUGUGGAAAGUAAGUUGUUACAUUUAUCUAUGGAUUAUCGAUGAUUAACUUUCUAGCCACUGCUUAAACCUCUUUUUUAAUGUGCAAAUUUCUCACAGCCACACACUAUACUGCAUUUGUCCAACUCUGAAAAGUCAAGACAUUAGCAACCCAUGCAACAACAAAUAAAAAUUACUGGGGAUGGGGCA